rnacentral:rRNA from 1 species
UUAGGAAUUUUGGGCAAUGGGCGCAAGCCUGACCCAGCAACGCCGCGUGGGGGACGACGGCCUUCGGGUUGUAAACCCCUUUUCCCGGGGACGAUGAUGACGGUACCCGGGGAAGAAGCCCCGGCUAACUACGUGCCAGCAGCCGCGGUAAUACGUAGGGGGCGAGCGUUGUCCGGAUUCAUUGGGCGUAAAGGGCGCGCAGGCGGCCGGGCAGGUCGCGCGUGAAAUCUCCGGGCUCAACUCGGAGGGGCCGCGCGAAACCGUCCGGCUCGAGGCCGGCAGGGGGGAGCGGAAUUCCCGGUGUAGUGGUGGAAUGCGUAGAGAUCGGGAGGAACGCCGGUGGCGAAGGCGGCUCCCUGGGCCGGUGCUGACGCUCAGGCGCGAAAGCGUGGGGAGCGAUCCGG